UAAAUUUAAGAGGAAUCUUCAAAUACACCCCACAUGAUUUCGCAUUUUCUCAUUUUAGUAUCACGUGGUUUAAAGUAUAUAAAAAUUAGUAUUCUGUGGUUUCGUACUUUCUUAGUUUAGUAUCCUGUGAUUUCAAGUGUAUCAUAUUAGUACCCUAUGAUUUUACUUUUGUAUCAAGUUAGUACCCUGUGGUUUCAGUUUUCUUUUUUUAUUAUCCAUUUCGGAGUAUAUAAUUUAACGAAAUAUUAAACCACAGGGUAGUAAAGUGAGAAAGUGCGAAACUAUAGAAUACUAACUUGAUACACCUUAAACCGCAGUGUACUAGAGUUAGAAAGUGCGAAACCAUAGGGAGUUAUUUGAAGUUUCCCCUAAAUUUAAUAUAUUUUUAUUCAUAACAUUUAAUAGCAUUAUUUAUUUUUUUAAAAAAAAUUUUAAAUAUCAUCUCUAUAGUUUCACAUUUUCUCACUUUAAUAUCAUGUGAUUUAAGAUGUAUCAUUUCCAAACCUUGUAAUUUUAUUUUUCUCUUUUUGUUAUCUACUUUUAAAGAUGAUAUUUUGGUAGUCAAAUUAAAAUUUAUUAAAAUUUAUUAUUUAAACUUUUUGAAUUAUUAUUAUAAUUAAAUCUCACAACCCAAUUUAGUUAACAAUAUUGAUGAAUCGUUGAUAUAAAAAAUAAUAUAGUAGUAUUGUAAAUUUGUAAUGAACUAAAAUUAUAUUAGGGUUCUAUUUUAGUAUAUAGUAAAUAGAUUCUAGUUAAUUGUAUAUAUAAUUAUAAUAAUAGUGUUUAAUAGUGUUUCUUAAUAAAAUUUUAGUUAAUUGUAUAUAUAAUUAUAUUUAAUUGGUAUAAUUUGAUUUAAUUUGAUUUAAUAGUGUUUUCUAAUAUAAUUAUUAUUCUAUAUUUGAGUUUGGCACGUGACAAGCAUAUAAAAAGAUACGUGUCAGUUUUACAUCAAGGGUUCUACUUUAGUAUAUAGUAAAUAAAUAAUGUAAUAAUUAUUAAGAUGUUAUAUUAUUUUUAGUUACUUAAUUAGGUCCUCGGACUUAAUUAUAAUAAUUCAAAAAAUUUGAGACAUAAAUUAUAUAAUAAAUUAAGGUUUGAUGAGGAAAGCGUCACGCAUCAAACAAAUUGCGGACCAGAAAUGCAAUUUACCCUUUAAUUUCUUGUAUAGAGAGGGAAAAUAAGAGAAAGUGAAAUUUUUAUUAAACUUAAUGGUAAUUAUUAUAUAAUUUUACUAGCUUUUAGCAAACGCAAAUAUUGUUUCUAACACCUAUAUUUUAUGAACUUAGUAAUUUAAAGAUUUAUUUUAUACAAGGGCAUAUUUGGUUGAAACAUUUGAGAUUUGGAAUAAAAAUGAAUAAUGAAAAUGAUUCAUUUUUAUUGUUGGCGGUUGAUUUAAUAGAUAAGCACUCGGAUUUUCAAUUCCAUGAAAAAUCGAAUACUCUGAAAAUAAUAUCAAAUCAACUUUGAUUCGGGAAAGAGUAAAAAAAAAGACCUUUUUUCACUAGUAAUAAUUAUUUAAAUUAAAAUUAAUAAUAUUAGAUCUUAGAUAAGUUAUAAGUUUAAAUUUAAAUUUAAAUUAUGUGAUAAAUUCGUAUAAUCUCUAAUUUUUUUACAAAAUUUUAAAAAUCUUUCUCCUCCCCAGAUGCUUUAUAAAUAAGGGAGUUCAGGUUGUGUCUAGGCCAGGACAAAGUCGCUAAGUAGGGAUGUCAACUCGUCAGAUUCGAAACGAAUUUUUAAAAAAUUUAAAUUCGAAUUCAACAAUCAAAAUCAAAAUCAAUUUAAUUCAAACCCGAAUUCGCAUCCGAACCUGACGCGCUUUAAAAAUUCACAUCUAAAAUCGAAUUCAAUAAAAAAAUCCAAAACCCCAUCCUAAUUCCGAACUCGAAAUAAUUAUUUUUUUAUUUACUAUACUUCUAAACAUAUUAUAUUAAAAUCUAUUUUUUUUAAAUAUUAACUUAAAUAUGAUAUUAAGCAUUCAAAUAUAUUAUAUAAAAUCUAUUCAAUUUUGAAUCAGGUAGAGAUAAAAUUUAGGAUUAAUUUCAUGCAGAUCCGUGCAAAUAUAGUGAAUAGCAAAUAUAUCCCUACAAAGUUCAACUUUCAUAAAUUAUCUCUACAAAAGCUCUGAUAUUUUCUAACAUGUCCCUUUGGUUUGUUAUUCUUAGAGAGCCAUUAGAAAAUUAUUUAUUUUUUCAAUUUUGCCACUACAAAUAUGUCCCUUCAAAAAUCAUAACAGUAUAAUAUAAGAAGGAUAAAAAUAAAAAAAAAACUAAUCAGGAUUAAAUAUUUAACCUAUGAUUAACUAAAACUUUCUAAUGAAUUUUAAUAGUAGGACAUAUUUGAAAACACCAGGACUUUUGUGAAAAACCAAUAUAAUAUAGUAUCCUAUUAGUAUAAUAUGAUAUAUAUAUAUUAUAUAUAAUAUAUUAUAUAAAAGUUUAAAUUUUAUAAAAAUAUAUGUGUGUUUAUAUAUUUACAAAGAUACUUAUGAAAUUAAUCUAAAACUUUAGUGCUACAUAGCCGAAUGUGUCCGCAUGUUUAUUUUGGUAAAUUAUAUCUUAUUAGUUAAAAUUUCGAUUACCACGCACUCAUCACUCAUCCUUCAAUUCGUGCUCGGGUAACGCUAAACCUGAAAUCAGUGUCACUUGUGUCGUGUUUCGGCGCUGGCAGGCGUCACUAUCCAAUGGGGCGUUAAGUCUGAUAAAACAGAAGGCCUAAAAAACGAAUCUCAGAUGAUCAAGGCUACUAUUCUCAAUAAUAUUAAUAAUUUAAUAAGUUAAUUAUAAGCUAAUUAAUGGUUGAAAUGAAUACCAUCUGAUAUUAUGCUUUGCCCAACACGCAGCAGAGUUCAGUUUUAAAAUGCAGAAUUAGUUUACGAAGGCAGGGGCAGAUAGCAAAAGGCGGAAUACCGUCGGUACCGUAGCCUCAAAGACUACUGCCUACCCCCAGUUCCAUACCUCCCGCCUUAUAUACUGGAGUCGCUCCAUAAUAACUCCGUCAUAAAUUAAUAUUGACCAAUUCAAAUGAUUUAAUAUGACUAAAUUACAAAAAAUAUGUAAUAAUAUCUAUUUUUUUAUUUUAUUGUAUAUUAGUUCGAGGAAAACUGUAUGAUUUUAUUUUGUAUAGAAAAGUUGAUUCAUAGAAAAAAUAGCUGUAAUAAAAUAAUCCAUAUUACUCUCAUUCUUCUUAACGGAGAGAAUGGACGAGGAUGAGGGCAGGGGCGGAGGACGAAGCGAUGGGAAGAUAGGCGAGGGCCGAGCGAGGUGGCAAAGACGGGCCAAGGGCCGUGUGUGCUGGAUAUGGCCAGGAUAGGUGGGCAAGAGCGAGGCGGGGGGACGAGGCGGCACAGUCGGAGGCGGGUGAGGCGCCGCGGCCAUGAUAAAGGAGGAAGAAGUUUUCAAGAAAUAUUUUGAGGUAGUAAGAAUAUGAUAUAAAAUGAAAUCCUACAGCAACACUAACGGCGGCGAGUUCAAAAUGAAUAUUUUAAAUUGAAAAUAUAUAUAUAUAUAUAUAUAUAUAUAUAUAUAUAUAUGAAUAUUGAUAUGGAGAUUUUCUGUAAUUUAGCAUAUUAAUUUUUUUCUUUCUUGUUUUAAGCGCAUGACCGUCAAACAAAUGUUCAUCUUAUUUAUCUAUAAAUAAACAAUGUUAAGUUAAUUUACAAUUCAGGCAAGUGUUGUAAUUCUACAACACCAUCCUCUAAAAAUUAUUUUAAAUUCUAGCCAUCCUCAAUUCUAUUAAUCUCUUGAACCUAACUACCGUCCAAAAAUUUAAAAUACUAUAGUCGGAUAAACAGAUUUAGUCCUAUUAUAUCUAAUAUAUAAGAUUAUUCAAAAUAUUAUAGCCGGAUUAAGAGAUUUAGCCAUAUUAUCGUAUAGAACUAUUUCAAAUAAUAUAGCUAGAUUAAAAUAUUUAGCGGUAUUAUAUCUUAUAUAUAUAUAUGACUAUUUUAAAUCCUAGAGUAUUAUAUUUUCUCCGCCUUUAAAUCCUAACGACUUAUCUCAUACUUUCGGCUGGUGAUUGGCUCUAGGCACCAUCCAAAAUGCUAUAGACGGACUCAGAGAUUUAGUAAUAUUAUAUAUUUUAUAUAUAGAACUUAUCCAAAUUCUAGUGUGUCACAUUCUCUCUCCUUUAAGUACACUUUUCGCUGAUAAUUAGCUCUAAUACCAAUUGUAUCGCUUUACUUGCGCUUAACGUUUUUAACUUCUUGGACCUAAUUAUUACCUAAAAUAUUAUAUUCGAGUUACCAGGUUUAGUCGUAUUAUAUACAUAUGGACUUGAUAUUUCUCUUACGAAAACUUUUUCCAAAUCCUUUUCAAAAUGAAUUGAAUUCUCAUAAAUUAAUAUAUGAUAACAAAAGAACACAAUUAAUAAGAAAAAGAAGGGAAUCUCAACGCUCUCAAAUUGAAACCUAUUCAACUCGAACGUGCUCAAAUUAUCCACCAACCCCACAUGGUGGCUGGCAGUCGGCACACACUCCCGAGUCCAGCCUCUCGUUUUUGAAGUUUCUUCCCAUCACAAUCACAAUAAUAAUAAUAAAUAAUAUUUUAUUUUGGCUAAAUUACUGUCAAAAUUUAAUUUUUUAUUUUUUUUCUAUAUCAUUUAAAAAUAUAUAUAUACUUUGCUCCCUUAUAAAAUAAAAAAUAUUCACUUCAACCUCAGCCGCUAGUAAUUCAUUAGGGUUCCGUUUAUAAAAUAAUAUUAUAUAUAUUUUUAUAUAAAAAUAUCCUCAGCCUUCUCUCCUGUGAAUAUGGUGAGGGCAAAAUAGUGAGGGGCAAAAUAAUCAUUUUGUCAUCACAGUUCAUACCGUAUUCCUCGUGAACAUUUUUUAUUUUACAAGAGGAUAAAGUGUAGAUUUUUAAAUGACAGGAGAAAAAAAUAAAAAAACGAAUUUUGACAGAAAUUUUUUUUGUAAUUUAACCUUUUAUUUUACUUCAAUCUUCCAUAAUUAUUCUAUCCAUUGGACCAAUUUACUUUUUAGAUUAUAUUAUUCUAUGGACCACUAACUUAGGCUUAGUUUGGUAUUGAGGUCUAUUUAACGCUAUUAGAUAAAAUAGAGCUGAGAAAAAAAUUUAUAGAGAUAUGUUUCUGCGUUCUCCGGUGGGACCACAGAAAAUAUAUCGUAACCGACUCAUCGCGAUAUGCAUAACGCAAUAUUACGUACGAAAACAAACAGGAUAUUUUUUCAACGUACUUUCUUCUCACCGCACGUAACGCAAUAUCCUCGUAAUCCCAAAUGAAGCCUUAAUCUUAGAAAGCUAUUAUUAUUUUAACAUUACAAAUUUUGAUUGAAAUUUGGAAAACCUACCAACAACAAUGCCUUGUUAUUUUCAAAAAUAUAAGAGCUUAGUUUAUAUAUAGAGAGAGAGAGAGAGAGAGAGUUCGGAUAUGAUAUUUUUAAAAGCACAAACAACUUAUGUUUAUAAAUUUUCUUUCGUUAGAUCUAAUUUUUUUGACUAUUUUUACCCAUUAGAUCAUCCUAUUUAAUCAGCCACCAACUCAACCCUGGAAAAUCACUAUCAUCCUAAUCACACAUAUAUAUAUUUAAUAUUAUUAUUAUAUAUAUCAUAUAAUUAAUAAUAUAUAAAUAAUAUAUUGGCUUAAAAACUAGGCUUUAAAAAUUAACCACUUGCAUAUUAUGGGCAUAUAUAAUGUAUAGGCUUAUUGACAGCUUAGGCAAAAAAUCGGCAUAAAAAAUUGCUUAAAUUUUUAAUUUUCUGCUUAAAAUAGGCUUAAUAUAGACAUGGCUUAAAAACGGCUUAGGCUUAAUUGAUUGAUACGGAGGUUGGUGAUUCUAACCAAAUCGAUGUUAGCUAGAGUAGGCAAGUAGACGAGCGAAGGCUGCACGAAUUAAUUAAUUAACUAUAAACUUCCUAUUUAUGCUUUUUAUAAACGAUAUAUUUCCCAUAUAUUCUAUUCACUCAAUGCCAUGCUCUUAUAUAACUUUACCUGUUUUAUCAUUAAAAAGUCUUUAUUGUCGUCGAUUGACUGCCUUGAAUUGAGGUCCCAAUUCUCUCCAUUUAUUCUUUUAACUUUUAAAAAGUCUCUAUAUAUCCGUUAACGGGGAUUAAUUAAUAUACAGUGUGCAUCAAAGUUUAUACUUACCCAAGCUAGUUGUUUCUCUACUAGGCUAAAAAACAAAGAGGGAGGCCUCUAGGUAUGGGUAGAGGUACGUGCAUUUUCGACACGCGAUGGGCGCCAUACAAGUGCCGCUACCGGCGCUUCAAAAACAACUCUCGCCUCGGUCGAGCCGUGCGAGGAAAGUUAAAAAAAAGGUCAUCAAUAUCUAGCCAAGAAAAUAAACGAGCGCCCGGCGCCAGAGGCACUGCGGAAACACCACGUACGUCGUCACCUACCUAAAGCGCUGUAGCGGAGCGACCACGAGUCUGACUUCCCUAUUUUUUAUCUUGUCAAUAACUUGUAAUUACAACACAUUCAACAUAGAAGUUCGACUAUACGAAUUGAAUGUAACCUACAUGGCUCUAGCAACAUCUCAGCGUCUUCGUAGCUGCUGUCGGCGUUCUAAAGGUCUGUUAGGACCUUCUCUAGAUCUAGUACAACUCACUCUAGACCCUUAUUGUACCGGUCUACUUCUUUUGUUGGGUAAAACGUUCAUGAGGAGGUCACAACCAUACAUCGGAAACAACAUGGUGAAACGAAGGUGAUUUUUACGAAACGUAUAUAGCCAGGUGACAUAGUUAAUUGGUAUAUUCGAUAAACUAAAUAAUCUCUCAAAAACACUUCUAUUAGAUAUAUAAAAGUAUGUUCCAGGAUUUAAAAAUGGAAACAUAUUUAGGGUAUUAAAAAAAAAAAUUAGAAGCAGAGGUAAAGAGUUGCUGUAUAUUGUAACAUAUAUGCCGUGAAAUACGAAAAAAAAAAAAGAAUAACGUUGAAAUAGGAAGAAAUGUAUUAUAUAUCUCACGGGAAUGAUCUUGGUUUCUCUUUUUUUAGUCGUAACUCACAUAAUUAAAUCUAAGAUGUCUUUCUACACGUGUUACUUAUGAAAACUUUUUUUUAUUCAACUUUUCAGUCUUUUAAUAUACCUUUAACUUUCUCCAUCCGUAAUUCUAUUUAUUUAGUUUCUCGAUAAGUUUCAUUUUAUUCCUUUCAUUUAAAAGAAAUGGCGAGAGAAAUCCCUACCUUCCCAUAACUCUGGAAAUAGAGAAUACUAGAGUAUACGAUAUAGUCAACAACACAACUUCUCACGAUUCUUUGUAUAAGAGUAUAUAAGUCCGUUAACGAGUUAUAGUUCACGUAGGGUAGAUAUUUUCUCUGGUGUUUAUAUAUUCUCAUAUAAUUAAUCUUUUAUAACCAAAAAAAAAUUGUACAUGUAGACAUGGGUAAGUUUAUAUAUGGUAAACCUCUUUUGUAACGUAAAUAAGCACGUACGAAGACAGACGUCCCAUGUAUAGAUAUGGUUUUUUAACUUAUAGAAUUAAAAAAAUACAGUGUGUUUUAUAAAAUUUCCAAAAAUCUUAAGAGUAUGUUUCUUUCAUAUCAAAAGUUGUCAGUACGGAUAUUUUCGUUGAGUUUAAGUUUACUAUAAUCGCACUAAAGCGUAUACAAGUACGUUUAUAGGGAAAUAAACCCCAUCACUUUGACUCAUUUUCUCAACAUAUAUACCUGGACAGUUGACGAAAACACUUUUCGAGCUCGAGUAGCUCCCUCGGCAUUCGCAGCAUCUAUAGUAGCUAACGGCAAUACUUACUCAAUCGGACACAAACAGGAACGGACUUCCAGCUUUCGAAGCCGAGCUUACGGGUUGGACAACCGAAUUUACCCGGUCGUAGAACAGGACACCGCCCUCCGGUAUACCCGGCUCAGUACAAGCUUUACCGCACUCUGACCCAACCCGGCUCAGUAUAAGCUUCACCGCACUCCGAUCCACCCGGCUCAGUAUUAGCUUUGGGUAAAUUCGUAUUUUUAAAUUAUACACAAAAUUUAAUUUUCGUAUUUUUAAAUUAAGUGUAAAUGAAAUUUUAAAUUUUAAAUUAAAACUAGGUGAUAUUGUUUUUUUAAUUAAUAAUUAAGUUUAAACUAUAUUUUUUAAUUAAUUUAAAUUAAAUAUUAAAUUUGAGUUUAAAAUUAAAAAUACAUUUUAUCUAAUUAUCCUUACGAUAAAAAAAUUGUUUAACUAGUAUUGGUAAAUAAAAAUAAACUCUAUAAAAAAUUGUUUAAUUAAUAUUUGCAUCCUAACUUAAAUAUCUACCUAUCCUUACGAUAAAAAUUUAUUUAACUAGUAUCGACAAGAAAAAACUUUAUUAAAAAAUUGUUUAAUUAGUAUUGGUAAAUAUCCCUUAUCUAAAGUUAUAAAUCAUCUCUAAAUUAUCUAACUAGUAUUGGCAAGCAAGAAUAAACUCUAUAAAAAUUGUUUUUUUAGUAUUAGUAAGCAUCCCUUAUAAAAAAAUAAUAAAAAACCUAAGGCAGACAAUAACAGCCUUAAGGAAAUGCGAAAAUAUAUAUAUAUAUAUCUCUCUCUCUCUCUCUCUCUCUCUCUCUCUCUACAUCAGCAAAAUCAUGAAAAAUCUAACUUCAUACUUAGAAUUAAUAAGAGGCAGAACACGAUAUAAUAAACACGCUAGAGAUUUUCUACUCAGUCAAGUAGAAUACGAUAGAACCUCCGCACGGUUGUCCUAUCGUUAUAGUAAGAUGGCUAGUUCGAGUAACAAAUCGAGCUUUAUUGAUGGUCAUCAUGAGAGCGUACGUCUCUUUGUUAGAGGAAAAAUCAUGUCACGUAAUGUACAGAACUGGAUAUACAGCGUCGAUUUAAUUAUGAAAUAUAAUAAACGAGAGAUAAAAUACGUCUAAUAUGUGACGAAUUAACUUAAACAAGUGAUGAAUGACGUUCUGCCAAGCGGCGAUUUAUGUUAAACAAGUUACGAAUCGUCUACAAAAGGUUGUACAUCUGGGACGGAGAAGGAAGUGGCACAUGGAUGCGCGCGUAUAGUAGGGGUACGUGUGCAGCGCGGUAUAUAUAACCACAUUCGUCGCCACGAUUCUCCUCAUGGUAUUACCCUUUCUCUAGUGGCCGGCAUCCAUAUAUAUAUAUCUUUGUUUGUAUAAAGAAAUGAACCACUUGUUUUAUUUAUUUUAAAGUUUACGGUGUUGGAGGAUGUGAUCGAUUAGUGCGUGUAGUGUUGUGUAGUUUGUGUAUCGGCACUAAAGGGAUCGAUCAAUUUUGGGACCUCUAUUUUAGUUCGCUGAGCAGGGAAGUUUCAACUUGCCCAAGCUAGUUGUUCCUCUACUGGGACAGGAAGCAAAGAGGGAGACCGCUAGGUAUGGGUAGAGGUACGACCAUUUUCGUCACGCGGCAGGCGCUGGGGAAGUGCUGCUCUCGGUACUUCAUAAGCAACUUCCACCUCAGUCGAUCUGUAUGAGGCAAGUUGAAAAAGGUCGUUAGUAUCUAGUCAAGGAAAUACGCGAGCGCCCGGCGCCGGAGGUACUGCGGAAGCACCACGUACGUCGUAACCUACCUAAAGCGCUGUAGCGGAGCGACCACGAGUCUGACUUAGUUCUUAUCUUGUCAAUAAAUUGUAACAACACGUUUAACAUAGGAGUUUGACUAUAUGAAUUGGAUGAAACCUACAUGGCUCUAGCAACGUUUCAGACCGUUAGUAGCUACUGGUGGCGUGCGAAAGGCCUAUUAGGACCUUCUCUAGAUCUAGAACAACUCACUCUAAACCUCGUUCUGUUAUUCAUAUUCUAUCUUGUUGUACCGGUCUGUACCUAUUGGUAGGUAAAACGUUCAUGAGGAGGUCACAACCAUACAUCGAGAACAGCAUGGUAAAACGAAGGUGGUUUAUACGAAACGUAUCUAGGCAGGUGACAUAGUUAAUUGGUAUAUAUGAAAAAAUUAAACAAUCUCUUAAAAACACUUUUAUUAGAUCACUUAAAAUUAAUGUCCACUAAAAGUAUAUCCGUUCAAGGAUUAAUAAAACGGGAAAUGUAUUUAGGGUCUCAAAACUUCAAAAAAGAAACUUUCAAGGAGUGAUGUUGUCUUAAUCCAAUAUUCCUGUGUACAAACCCUGUGAAAACUCAUUCACAGGGUAAAUAGGAUUUUGAAUUUUUUUGUAGAUGAUUACGGAUUUAUAUUUCGGGUUAGGUUGGUUUUUAUUUUCUAAUGAGAUGAGUUGGGUGGUGUGGGUCAGGUAAACCGGGCUAAUGUUUGCCUUUUCUUUUUUUUUUUCUUUUUAGUUAAUGGUAGAAAAGAAGAGAGAUAUGAGUUAGGUGACUUUAAGAUCUGCUUCUCGGAAAGGACAGCAGGAGGAGGCGGUGGCGUCGGUUGCUCUAUCUCAAAGCCGCCAACGAUUUACGAAUUUAUUCACAACCAUUUAAUCGUCGUGAAAAAAUCCAAUAUCGCUGUGAGAAAUUGACAGUGAUAUAUGGAUCGCUGGGGUGUAUAUCGUUGUGAAAAUUUUCACAGCCAUUAAAAUCGAUCGUCGUGAAAAAACUGUACAUGGAUGUAAAUUUUCACAGCGAUAUCUGGCAAAAACAACAUCACGGAUGAGUCGUAGAAAGUCUAUUUAGAUUUUGAUAGGGUAAUUUCUAAUGUUUAAAGAGAGGUAAAAAGUUUCUAUAUAUUCAGAUAUAUAUCUGUAAUAUAUACGUAAUAAAUAAUGUUGAAAUAGGAAGGAACACGUUAUUUUAUGGGAAUGAUUAAUUUUUAUUUAAAAUAUACGUAUAGUUUGAAUUUAUCAUUAGUUUUACGUGUUUCUCUAUUUUUAGUAUAUAUUUAAGACAGCUCAUAUAAAUCUAAGAUGCAUGACUUUCUACACGAGCUAGUCAUCUAUGAAUUAAAAGUUUCUUUUAACUUUUGAAUCAUUUAAUAUAUUCUUAUGUUUUACUAUCUAUGAUUCCAUUUAUAGCAUCUCUGUUUCGUUUUACUCCCUUGUUAAAAAAAAAAAAAAAAAUGGCGCGAGAAAUCCAUGCCUUCUUAUAACUCUGGAAAGAGAAAGUAUUGGAGUAUUCGAUGUAGUAAACAACAUAACUUCUCACGAUUCUUUGUAUAAGAGUACAUGAGGCCAUUAACGAGUUAUACUUCACGUAAGGUAGAUAUUUUUGGUGGUUUUACAUAUUCUUGUAUAAUUAAUCCUUUAUUUCUCUAAAAAAAAUUUGUAUAUAUAUACAUGGGGAAAUUUGUAUAUAUUACUUCUCAAACGCGUUUGUGGUAAAGUUUUUGUAUUUGCAAAAACUCAAGAAUACGUUUCUCUCAUAUCAAAAGUUCCCAUGCAGUUCACUUGUUUCGUUGAGUUUAAGUUUACUAUAAUCGCACUAAAGCAUAUACAAGUAUGUUUAUACAGAAUUAAACAUCAUCAUUUUGACUCAUUUUCUUAAGUAUAUAUCUGGACAGUUGACGAAGGCACUUUUCGAGCUCGAGCGGUUCCCUCGGCAUUUGUAGCAUCUGUAGUAGCUAACGACAAUGCUUUCUCAAUCGGAAACAUACACGAUCGGAAUUCCAGCUUUCGAAGCCAAGUUUUCGGGUGGGCUGUCACUUAUCUAUCAAAAGGUAGUUAGAUAGAGACGACUUCCCUUCAAAGAGGGUAUUGGGGUCUAACUUGGUGGUAGACUUUAAAAGUCUAUAAAAACAGGAUAAAUCUUCGAUAUAUAUAUGAAUAUAUAUAAUCAUAACAAGAAAAGCGCACGUAAACACUACCCCACUUUAUCGUGUGUAUAUUACGUUAAUUUUAAUUUGUUGACAUAAUAUACUAUUUCAAUCUAAUCAAACAAUUACAACAAUCCAACUUCGUUAAUUCGAACGCCUGGUCUUCCGUCUUUGAGAUUAGAAAAUUGACUCAGAUUUUAAGACUCCAAUUAAUCUAGUUAUCGAUCAAAAUUUAUUUCAGUAUAACGCGUUUUAUAGGAUAUAUAUAUAUAUAUAUAUACGUGGAACUGUGAAGGAACUCGAGAGAGAACAUGCACAAAACUUGGCGUAACUUCAGGUUGAAGCGCUUGAGCUCUUCUACUCCAGAGUAGAGGAGAAGAAAGAGUAUAAGCAGCUACUUGGUAGAGCACACGUUAGAGAGGUACGCGGUCACAUCACCAACGAGGUUACGUGCUCGGUGCAUUAGAGAAUUGAAUGUCAAUAGUAGACUACUUAGAUUAUUCUUUAAUAACUCCACAGCUUAACAUUUCAGCGCUCGGAGUAAGUCGCAUAGAAGAGGAAGGUGACGGUCUAUUCUUCGGAGCAUGUUUGAGUUGUUUGAAAAUUAAACUAACGAGUUCAACCUAAACUUCAACGGGAAGAGUAGAAAUUUGACUAGUUUUUAUAGACGUUGAACCCAUACAUAUUAAGCAAUUUUUCACACCAAGCUAUUUUAUCAGCAAUCAUAGUGCUACUGUAAAUAAACAAGUUGUCUAUUAAUUACAGAUUUAAUUAAUUAUUUCCUAAUUGUUAAUCCUUGGCUUAAUUAACAUAAUAAUGGAACACUUUGAUAUUUAGGUACAGGAGAUUCUUCGGACUUAUUCUCACGUUAAUACAUCCGUAAUAGGAAGCAGAGGUACGCAUUCAGUAGAUUAAACGAUUUGUAUCUCAGGUCACGUACGAAAUAGAGGAAGAGUUUCACUAUUGGUUAGGGCUCAACAACAUAACGUAGUUACUCGAGUUCGAAUAGUAGUUGUUGGUAACAAAGGAGUAGAUAGUACUCGGGGUGAAGGAGGAAGUUGAGCAGGUUAGAGAAACACAGGGAGAGGAUGCAGUGUUUAACACCUCGCGGGGUAGUAAACGUUUUGAUAUAUAAUUUGAUCAAUAUAUUUUGUUAAAUCAUGUUAUUAAUUAUAACCUACUACAGAAUAUUAAUUAAUCUACAUAUACAUAUAUAGAAAUGUAAAUAAGGAUAUGUUUCAAAAUCAAUAGUACUAUAUAUUAUAUGCAGAGAGGUUUCAUCGAUCGGAUCAAACGUUCAUGUAAAAAGAGAGAAUCAACUGAUUAUUUUGAACUGAAAAAGAUGUUUUACUAGUAAGAUAGAAGUUUAUUUUAUAGAAAAGUUAAUAUAACUUUUAAUAUAUAGUUAAGAUUAUAAAAACAAGAUUAUGUUGGUUUAUUUUAUAGUUUAAAUUUAUCUUUAUCAACUCUUUAUUAGAAUUGGUAUGAUAUCGGAGCUGCGUGCCGUUGCUGACAUAUAUUAACAACGGGGUAUACGAGCCAAACAUUAGGCGGCUGGCUGCGUCCUGGCGUACGUGGGCGUGUAAGAACGUGACUCCUUUGUUCGGUAGCCAGCCUCUAGCCUGCCAGUCCUCGAGGGUGGCCUCGGCAACUAGACACCACUCCGCGUACUACCUACCACGCCCACUGCCACUACGUUACACCUCCCGGUAACAGUAACUAAGGCACUCGAAUUAUGUGUGUAUGUAUGUAUAUAUAUAUAUAUAUAUAUAUGUGUGUGGAUCGAGAUAUCUUAUAUAGAGUGCACGAAAACUUUCGUGCCCUCGAAGAUAUGAACAUUCAAUUAAAAUUAUUAAUUUAUAAGUUAAUCUCGCUAGCCAAGACAAUCCGUACUAUAUGUGAUAAUCUUAAUGAUUUUAUUUUAAAAUAUUAAAAAGCUGAAGUAAAUAGUUUACUAGGUUUUCAGAUUUUUGAUUGAUAAAAUUACUGGUUACACCUUAUAAAUAUUCAAGUUAUUAUAUUUUGUUAAGUUUAAUACACUUUAUAUAAUAUUAUCUUUUAAGAUGAAUGAUAAUUCUCGUUUUAGUUAUAAAAACUUAACUCUAAACAGAAAAUAAUGAUAAAAAUAUUAAAAAAAUAAAAGUCCGCAAAUAAGAAUACGAUAUAUAAAUGAUACGUUUGUUUUAGUGUUUUAAUAUUUUAAACCACAGAUUUAUCGAAGCUGUAACAUAUAGUUCAGAUUGCAUUGGCUAGCGACUCAACCUAUAAAAUAAUAGCUUUUAUUGAAUGCGUAUCUCUAGAAGCACGGAAGCUUUUAUAUCAUUGGAUCGAAAUAUAUAUAUUAAUUUAUACCAACGUAUGUAUAGAUGUACUAGAGAUAAGUUAACCGUACACCUUCUAUUCAUACCCGGCCACGAACAUGAAGGUUAAUCGCACACAUGAAUAAAAGAAAUAAGAAGUUGACAUGUGUAAGUAUAAGAAAUAGAGGAGUUGGCAUGUGUAAAUAAAAGAAAUAACGGUAGAAUAAAUUAUUAUUUAGAAUGCUAUUUGGAUUUUAUUUUAAUUUAUUAAUAAUAUAUAUUAAAAGACUUUAUAUAAUAGAAUGCUUUUAAUUAACAUUGAUGUAUUAAUAUCACUACUUGAGAAGAGAUCAUUAUUUUUUUUUUUUUUCUCUUCACGAUUUCAGAUGUUAAGUUUUUCUCAAACUUUAGAAUGUUGGGAGGUAGGAUUCCAACUAGUUUGGAAAAGACCUAAAUCAAUAUGUUUGUUUUUUUAAUUAUUUUUUUUUCAACUAUCUUCAUUAUGUACUUUGAACCAAAAAUUUAAUAGUUUAACAUAUUCCAAGAUAAACUUUAAUCCUUCUCUAACAGAAUUUAUAUAUAUCUCUCUCUCUCUCACACCUCGACUUUGCGAUAAGCAUCGUUUGUCCAAAGCAACAGUAAGUAAACAAAUGCUACUACCUCAGAGGUUAGCUGCUAGCUAUGGCAAUUUGUAAUAGAUAUGGUGAACUUCAUAAAUCUUUAGUUUAAAGUUUAGAAAAGCUGUAGUAACUGGAUUACUAGUUUCCAAAGUUUUAAAUAUCAAAAUUACCAGCUAUAUUCUGCAAAAGAGCAAAUUGCCAUAUUUAGAUAAAUUUAGUUAACUUAAAACCAACCUUUCAAGAAAUUUGAUAAAUUUUAUUUAAUAUAUGAGAACUAGAACUAAUGUUCUGAGGAUAGUAGUGCAAAAUUUCUUAUAAAUAAACGUCGGCAAGUAAAAACACAGGUGAACUACCUGUUCUCUUGUUAUAGCUUUUUUAUAUUUUAAAUCAAAAAUCUAUGAAGUUCACCAUAUCUAGUACAAGUUGCUAUGGCUAGCAGCUAAACCUCCGAGGUAGUAGCUUUUAUUUAUUUACUGUUGCCUUGGGCAAACGAUGGUUAUCGUAAAGUCGAGAGAGAGAGAGAGAGAGAGAGAGAGAGAUAUAUAUAUAUAUAUAUAUAUAUAUCAGGCCGAUGAUAGGAGAAUUCUCCUAUCUUCUGAAACAGGAUAGUUCAGUAAAACCUACCAGCUUUGAAAUUCAACUAUUAGCCUUGGCAACUUUAACUAGAUGUGCUAAUCUUUAUGAAUUUUUGGCUUAAAACAUUAAAAAUUUUUAGUAAUAGUUUAGGUAACUUCUCAGUUUUUUACUUGCCGGUUUUUGUUUAUUAUUGGAAGAUUUUUAUCUCCAAUUUGAAAAAGUUAAAUGCUAGCCUCAAUAAUUUGUAGUAGAUUUAUCAUAUUUUUUAAAAGAUAGUUUUUAAGUUGACUAAAUCUAAUGAGAUGUGGCAAUUUUUUCGUUUGCGGAGUAUAUCCGGCAGUUUUUGACAAUUAAACGUUAGGAAAUUAAACUAGUGAUACAUUUAUUUAAAAUUUUAAAUAUUUUAAAUCAAAGAUGUAUUAAGUUUAUGAGAUUUAGUUAAAGUUACCAAGGCUAAUAGCUAAACCUUAGAGAUGGUAGUUUUUGCUAAACUAUCCUGCUUCCAAGGAUAGGAGGAUUUUCUUAUCGUCGACCUAAUAUAUAUAUUAUUAUGACACAAAACCACCAAUCAUGGGCACCAGGAUUUAAGCUUAGGGUCAACUAAAUGUAAAGGUCGAUUUAAAUAAAGAUUUAUUUUAUUUGCUUCGCCUAUCGCAUGAUGGAUAGAGAGUUUAUUAUUAUUAUUAUUAUUAUUAUUAUUAUUAUUAUUAUUAUGACACAAAACUUAUACGGUACCUUUUUUAUCUCUUCGUGUAUCGAUAUUUGAAAACGAGAUUGAGACAAGACACUAUUCGUAAUCUACUAGGAGCUAAGAUUGGAAAAGACCUAAUUUUUUACAAAACAUAUGUUUAGUAGCGAUGGAUUAAGACGAUCAUGCCUCGUGGAAAAGAGAGAAAAAAAAAAAAGGAAAAAAACGUCUCUUUACGACCUAAACGUUGCAUGUUUGGAUGUGUUUAAUUGACAAUAAUAUAUAAUGAUAAUUAUCGAGUGUUGAAAAUUGAUUGGGUGGCUUUGAUAAAUAACGGGAUGAAACUGUUAAAACUAAAGUUACGGUAUAAAAAACAUGCAAAAAAAUUUUAAGCAGGAUAAAAUAAAAAGAGAAAAAAAAGGAGGGGUUGCUCCGCUACUACCAAAAAAAAAAAAAAUUGGAAAAAUUAAAUCGGCACCACGCUGUGUUAGUGUUAGGUUGAAUAAAAACAUUUUUUUUGAGGUUUGUUUGUGCUUUGUUCGUUUUGGCUAGCAGAGAUCUUUUUUACCGUUUCCUAAACUACCAACUAUGGGCUUUGGGUUUAAGCUUAGGAUCAACUAAGUGUAAAGGUCGAUUCGAAUAAAGAUUUACUUUAUUUGCUUCGCUUAUCGCACGAUGGAUAAAGAGUUUUUUUUUUUUUUUUUUUUUUUUUUUUGUUGUUGUUGUUGUUGCUGCUUUGUUUCCUAAAAUUUUUGUCAAAGAUAUUUUAUAUUUCUCAUUUAAUGUGAAAAUCAGGAGGUUAAUACUCCUAACUGUGAAGUCAGGAGUUUAUCAUGUUCGUUCCGUGAAAGUUGGGAACGUGCUUGUUUCAUUUAAUUAUACAGAAGAACUUAAAGCUCCUAGUGCUCAUCUGUUUUCUUUCCUCUCCACGUCCUUUGACCACGAUCUACUUUAUAUGAUUUUAAAUUUUUUUUUAUUAUUAUUAAUUUCUUAUACUUCUUUUCGAACUUCUUUAUUUCUUACCUUCUCGCGUUAUUAUUUUAAAAGUUACUCAACAUAUAUAGUACAUUUCUUGAUCGAGCUCAUAGAGUGUUACUAUGUGAACUAAGUUUAAAAAUAUUUAUUCCCUAAGUUAAACCUCUAGUUAAUAACGACAUCUGGAUGAAUCGGGGUUGUUAAUAUUAAAUACAAACAAAACGUACAUUGAAGAUAAUAUAAGUUAUUUUGCAUACCCGUUAUGGGAUAUGUGAGGAAAGUUUUUUUUUUUUCUUUUUUUGUCCGCACUAUUGAGGCAAUCUCUACAAUUGCCCAGCCUAAACCACGCCUAAAAGUUUUUAGGCUUGGGCUUGGGCUGAGGCUUGGGCUCUGGGCUUAGGCUUGGGCUGCCUAAAAUUUUUAAGUAUCGGUUUAGGCUUGGGCUGCUUUUUAGGCUUUGGGCUUGAGCUUUUAAACUUGGGCUUUGUUCAUAAACCACCAUCCACCACCAUCCACCUUAUCACAAAUUAGGUUACCGAUAAUUAUAAGUUUAGCAUCUAAGUUACCGAAUUUUAUGAUUAACGUGGUACUACCACUAUGAACAUUUUCAUAGUAUCGAGUUGAGAUAUAUAUAUAUAUAUAUAUCUCACUCCGAUGAUACGAUAGCCUUCGUGCCUCGGAAGACACGAAGGUCAAACAAAAGCUACAAACCUGAAAGCUUAGCAGCUAGCCGAGGCAAUCUGAACUAGAUCUCAUAAACUUCAUGGAUCUUUUAUUUAAAUACUAAAAAGCUAUAGUAAACGGAUCACUUGCUUCCCCGAGUUUUAGUUGCCGACUUUUAUUUUUAGAAUGUUUUACAUUAUUAUACUGUAAUUUUAAAAUUUAGUUUAUAUAACUAGAACAAAAUAUAUCAUAUUUCUUAAAAGCUAGUUUUAAAGUGCACUAAACCUAUAAAGAUGUGGCAAUUUGAACGUUUGCCGAAUGAUGCCGGUAACUUUAAACAACUAAAACUCGGGUAAGCUAGUGAUCCGUUUACUAUAGCUUUUUAUUAUUUUAAAUAAAAGAUCCAUGAGGUUUAUGAGAUCUAGUUCAAAUUGCCUCGACUAGCUGCUAAGCUUUCAGCGUUGUAGCUUUUGCUCGACCUUCGUGCCUUCCGAGGCACGAAGGCUAUCGUAUCAUCGGAGUGAUAUAUAUAUAUAUAUAUAUAUAUAUAUCCUAUUUCGAUGAUACUAUAACCUUCAUAUUUACUAAACCAUGAAGGCUAAUAAACUGAGAACCUAAUUCUUAAUAUGUUCAUCCUACUAACGCCAGGAGGGAUCAUAACUUAUCAUAAGAAUCCUAAUGCACCAGGGAUAUUCCAUUAUCAUAAUUAGAUUUCUAAUCUUUACUAAUUUCUCUGUCGAGAUUUACGUUCCUCAGUCUUCGUGGUUUAAUAUAUAUAUAUUUCAACUCGGAGAUAUGAAAAUUUUUAAGAAUUCAAUAACCAUGAAGAUCUAAAACUUAAAAAACUAAUUCUCUNNNNNNNNNNNNNNNNNNNNNNNNNAAGUUUUCGACAAUUCAAUAUUAAUAUGACUAAAUUACAAAAAAUAUUAAUAAUAUCUAUUUUUUAUUUUUUUAUAUUAUCAAAACUUAUAUUUUAUUUUUUAAAAAAUUAUUCAUAGAAAAAAUAGGCUGUAAUAAAAUAAUCAAUUAUUCUCAUCUUCUUAGACGAGAGAAUGGACGAGGAUGAGGGCGAGACGGCGAGGACGAAGGCGAGGCGAAGGUGAGGGCUGAGGCGAGGCGAGUGGCAAAGAGGCAAGGGCUGUGUGUGUGGAUAUGGCAGAUAGGUGGGCUAAGAUUUCGAUGGCGGCGGAGGACGAGCGGCACAGCGCGAGGUGAGGCGCCGCGGCCAUGGAUAAAGGAGGAAGAGAGUUCAGAAAUAUUUUGAGUAUAAGAAAUAUGAUAUAAAUGAAAUCCUAACAGAACACUAACGGCGGUGAGUCAAAUGAAUUAUUUUUUAUUUUUUUAAGAGAGCAAAGUGCAGAUUUGUAAUGACAAAAAAAAAAAAAAAAAAGAAUUAUUGAUAUUGGAGAUUUUUCUCUGUAAUUUAGCAUACUUAAUUUUUUUUCUUUCUUGUUUAAGCGCAAAUGACCGCAAACAAAUGCUUACAUCUUAUUUAUCUACUAAAUAAACAAUGCUUAAGUUAUUUACAAUUCAGCGUCAAGUGUUGAAUUCUACAACACCAUCCUCUAAAAUAAUAUUUUAAUUCUAGCCCAUCCUCAAUUCCUAUUAAUCUCUUGAACCUACACUCCGUCCAAAAUUUAAAUACGUAUAGUUCGGAUAAAACAGAUUUAGUCCAUAUUAUAUCGUAAUAUAUAAGAUUAUUCAAAAUUAUUAUAGCCGGAUUAAGAGAUUUAGCCAUAUUAUCGUUAUAGAACAACUUAUUCAAUAAUAUAGCUAGAUUAAAAUAUUUAGCGGAAUUAUAUGCUAUAUUAUAUAUAUGACUAUUUUAAAUCCUAGAGGUAUUAUAUUUUCUCCGCUUUAAAUCUAACGACUUAUCUCAUACUUUCGGCUGCGUGAUUGGCUCUAGGCACCAUCCAAAAUGCAUAUACGACGGACUCAGAGGAUUUAGUACAUAUUAUAAUAUUUUAUUUUAUAGACUUAUCAAUUCUAGCUGUAUGCUCACCAUUCUCUCUCCUUAAUACACUUUUCGGAUGAAUAAUUAGCCUCUAUACUCAACUAUGUACUCCGCUUUACUUGCCGUCUUUAACGUUUUUAACUUCUUGGACACUAAUUAUUACUAAAAAUAAUUAUAUUCGAGUUAACCAGGUUUAGUCGUAUUAUAUACAUUAUGGACUUGAUAUAUUCUUUUACGAAACUUUUUCCAAAUCCUUUUCAAAAUGAAUUGAAAUUCUCAUAAAUUAAUAUAUGAUAACAAAAGAACACAAUUAAUAAGAAAGAAGGGAAUCUCAACGCUCUCAAAUUUGAAACCAUAUUCACUCGAACGUGCUCACAAUUAAUCCACCAACCCCAUGGUGGCAUGGCAGUCGGCACACACUCCCGAGUCCAGCCUUCUCGUUUUUCGGAAGUUUCUUCCCAUCACAAUCACAUAUAAAUACAUAAUACAAUAUAUUUAUAUUUUUGGCCUAAAUUACUGUCAAAUUUAAUUUUUAUUUUUUUUCUAUAUCAUUUAAAAAUAUAUAUUAUACUUUGCAUCCCUUAUAAAAUCAAAAAAUAUUCACUUCAACCGCAGCCAAGCUAGUAAUCAUUAGGUUCCGUUUAUAAAAUAAUAUUAUAUAUGAUUUAUUAUAUAAAAUAUCCUCAGCCUUCCUCUCCUGUGAAUAUUGGUCGAGGGCAAAAUAGUGAAGGGGCAAAAUCAAUCAUUUGUCCAUCAAGUUCAUUACCGUAUUCCUCCCACUGUGAACAUUUUUUAUUUUUACAGAGCGAUAAAAGUGUAGAUUUUUAAAUUGACAGGACUGGAAAAAAAAUAAACGAAUUUUGACCAGAAGGAUUUAUUUUGUGUAAUUUAACCUUUUAUUUUACUUCAAUCUUCCAUAAUUAUUUUCAUGGUACAAUUUACUUUUUAGAUUAUUAUUUAUUCCUGAUGGACCACUAACUUUAGGCUUAGGUUGGUAUUGAGGUCUAUUUAACGUCUAUUAGACUAAAAUAGAGCUGAGAAAAAACUUAUAGAGAUAAUGUUUCUGCGUUCUCGGUGGGACCACAGAACAAUAUAUCGUAAACGACUCAAUCCGCGAUAUGCAUAACGAAUAUACGUACGAAAAAAACAGUGAUAUAUUUUUCCAACGAUACUUUUCUUCUCCACCGCCACGAUAACGAAUAUCCUCGUAAUCAAAUGACCAGCUUAAAUCUUAGAAAGCUAUCUAUAUUUUAACUGUUACAAAUUUCCUUGCAUUGAAAUUUUGGGAAAACCUUACCAACAACAACUGCUUUUAUUUUCAAAAAUAUAGGAGCUUAGUUCUAUAUAUGAGAGGCAGAGAGGAGAGAGAGAGUUCGGAUAUGAUUUUUAAAAGCACAAACAACUUAUUUUUAAAAUUCUUUCUUUCGUCUAGAUCUAAUUUUUUUGACUUAUUUUACCCCAUUAGAUCAUCCUUUUAAUCAGCCACCAAACUCAACCCUGCCGGAAAAUCACCUAUCAUCCCUUAAUCACACAUCCUCUUAAUAAAAAAAUUCAAAUCUAGAAGUAAAAAAAAAAAAAAAAUACCAAUAAAUUAAGAAUUUAAAGUAUAAGAGAGCCUCACUUUAUAUAUAUAUAAUUUGGUGCUUUCUGACUCCUUGCACAUUUAGAGCUGCUCUCUUUAAUUCAUUUCUAAUCUCUUAGAUUAUACUAUUACCUUUAUUAGGCGACACGUAAUCCUAAAGAAUCUAUUCAAUCACUUAAGGAGGACCGCCAAAUCAUCCUACUUUUAUAAAUUCUUUAUCCAGAGUCAAAUAAUCGGAGUACAAAUCAUUUAUCUUCCAAAUAAUCAUGUAGCUUAUCCUAUAUAUAUAUAUAUAUAAUAUAUAUAUAGUGAGGCUACUAUGCUAAUCGGAAGCACGGAGCCUUCCGUGCUUCCCAGCUCGUUUUCGAUGAUUGCCGACUUUCGAAUCGUCGAUCAGCCUCCGGUCUAAACUAUGAUCUAGAGUAUUAUGGGUACCUCAGAAAUACAUUUUAUUUUUUCGAUAUUCAUUUGCCUAGUGAUCGGAAUGGGCCCUCCAAAAUCAACACAAUUUCAAUGGCCGUAGUGAGCGUUUGCAAGUUUUAAACGCGUUGGUGAAAUAUCCAAAUCACGUGAAAUUUAUGAUAGAAUUUUUAUACUAUAUAACAAGAUUUUCAAAGUAUCUUUUAUUUAAAAUUUUAAUGUCAUAUUAUUAUAUUUUGUAAGACUUUCUUAUUUUUCAGUCUGUUGAUUUUUGAGCCCCUUCGUUUACUAGGCAAAUGAUAAUCGUUAAAAUCACUAAAUUUAUUUUCUAGGUCUUUAAAUACAUCUAGAAUCAGUUUAACGGAGUCUGAUCGACGAUUUCCGAAGUCGCAAUAUCGAAAACGAGCUGGAAGCCACGAGAAGCGUUCGUCUUCCGGAUAGCAUAGUAGCCUCACUUACUAUAUUAUAUAUAUAUAUAUUAUAUAGAGAGAGAGAGAGAGAGGAGAGGAGAGAGAGAGGGGGGGGGGGGGCGAUGGGGGGUAGAAGACGAAGAAGAGGACGAGGAAGAAGCGGUGGGGGAGGGGGGGGAAAUGGAUUCGGAUUCCUCGGAUCCCCUCCUCCAGGCUCGGUCGGAGCCGUUGAGCGGCCUCGUCGACUACCGCGGCCGUCCGAUCUACCGCGCCUCCUCCGGCGGGUGGCCCGCCGCCCUCUUCGUCAUGGGUAAACCCUAAAACCCCCCAAACCCUAGAUCCAUUGAUGAUCGAUCGAAUGGGAAAUGAUGAUGAUGAUGAUGAUGAUGAUGAACAUUGAUGGUCGUUUAGGGUUGGAGAUAGCGGAGAGGUUUGCGUACUACGGGGUGGCGUCGAACCUGAUAACGUACCUGACGGGGCCGAUGGGGGAGACGAACGCCGCGGCGGCGGCGGCGGCGAACGCGUGGUCGGGGGCGGCGUCGAUGCUGCCGCUGCUCGGCGCCAUCCUCGCCGACUCCUGCCUCGGCCGAUACCGCACCAUCGCCCUCGCCGCUCUCCUCUACGUCCUGGUACCCCCCCUAAACCCUAACUCUAACCCUAACCCACUACUUUACCCCCCCACCCAUUCCCCAUUCCCCCUUCAUUUCCCCUUAUUUCCUCACUACUCUCCUCUCGCCACUCCUGCUACGCUUACACAAUAUAACUACCCCCGAACAACUCCCCCAAAACGAAAAAGCUACUCCUACUCUUAUUCCAAGUAUAUAGAAUUAGACUAUUAUACUAUUAAUAGCAAUAAAUAACCGGUGUUACUAUAUUUUCGGCCAGAUGAAAAAAUGUGUGAUUAGAAUAAUAGUUAUCUUCUAAGAUCGAGUGAAAGAGUGAUUAAAUAGUACGAUCUAAUAAGUAAAAAUGAUCAAAAAAAAUAAAUCUAACGAUGAAAAACUCUAAAACACUAUAGCGUUUGGUUUGGGAACAAGGGGGAGAAUAAGCUCUUGUUCCCCCUUUUGUUCCCAAACGCAGCGUUUGGUACCCGAGAACAGUAGUUCCCGAGUUUCUGGAACUAACUGGUAUAAGGCUGGAAUUGGCUGGAACUGCUGUUCCACCUUUUUCCUGGAACAAGCUUGUUCCAGAAUGAGAACAAAGUUAAUUAAAGUCUAAAUUUAAAUUUUAAUGAUAGUAAAUUAUUAAUUAAUCUAAUUAAUAUAUUUAAAUCAUUAUUUAUUGCUUAAAUAAUAAAAUAAAUAAUUAAUUAAUUAAUUAAAAUUAAUUAUUUAUAAUUAGAUAAUAAUAAUUACUAAUUUAAUAAUUAUUAUUUAUUAAUAAUUAUUAAUUAAAUAAUAAUUAUUAAUAAUUAUUAUUCUUAAGAAAUAGAUAAUCGAUAUUAUUAUUAAUUUAUUAUUUAUAAUUAAUUAUUAAUAAUUAGAUAAUUAUUAUUAAUUAAUUUAUUACUUAUAAUUAAUUAUUAAUAUUAUU
rnacentral:lncRNA from 1 species